UACGAAGGGGGCUAGCGUUGUUCGGAUUUACUGGGCGUAAAGCGCACGUAGGCGGAUUGCUAAGUCAGGGGUGAAAUCCUGGAGCUCAACUCCAGAACUGCCUUUGAUACUGGCGACCUUGAGUCCGGGAGAGGUGAGUGGAACUGCGAGUGUAGAGGUGAAAUUCGUAGAUAUUCGCAAGAACACCAGUGGCGAAGGCGGCUCACUGGCCCGAUACUGACGCUGAGGCACGAAAGCGUGGGGAGCAAACAGG
rnacentral:rRNA from 1 species